rnacentral:lncRNA from 1 species
CCGUGAACUACUAUUUGAGUAUUAGAUAUCAGAAGUCCAUGCAAAUUAUUGCAAUAACUUUAGGUUAGUAGAAAGAUUAGAAAUAGCAAAAGAUUCCUGAAUGUUAGAGCUGAAAGUUAUAUUUCAGUUCUGGCUUUAGAAAUUCUCAAGUUUUCGAUUCUAAUAAUGUCAUUUUCGGUGAUUGUCACCAUUGUCCAUUUUGACGAAUGUAAUUUUCGUAGGCCUUCUGGCCAAAGAUGGAUUUAAAUUAUCAACAUAAAAUGAUUUUUGUGAUAUCAUUAUAGAUGAUGUCAAAAUCAUGUGUGGAUAACUGAAAAAUGGUAUUUACAAAUAG